rnacentral:rRNA from 1 species
AGCGAACGCUGGCGGCAGGCUUAACACAUGCAAGUCGAACGGGCAUCUACGGAUGUCAGUGGCAGACGGGUGAGUAACACGUGGGAACGUACCCUUCGGUUCGGAAUAACUCAGGGAAACUUGAGCUAAUACCGGAUACGCCCUUUUGGGGAAAGGUUUACUGCCGAAGGAUCGGCCCGCGUCUGAUUAGCUUGUUGGUGGGGUAACGGCCUACCAAGGCGACGAUCAGUAGCUGGUCUGAGAGGAUGAUCAGCCACACUGGGACUGAGACACGGCCCAGACUCCUACGGGAGGCAGCAGUGGGGAAUAUUGGACAAUGGGCGCAAGCCUGAUCCAGCCAUGCCGCGUGAGUGAUGAAGGCCUUAGGGUUGUAAAGCUCUUUUGUCCGGGACGAUAAUGACGGUACCAGAAGAAUAAGCCCCGGCUAACUUCGUG